AUGAGAUGAGCUAUAGGAGUAUUAAUUAAUUUGCCAUUGAAGUUUCUCUGCACAGAGGAAAAGGCUAGAUGCAUGAUACAAUAAGAAGAUCACAGCCACUUGUGACACAGUUGUUUCGGGCUGCUUGUUCAGGGUCUGUAAAGACAUAUUCAGCCCUUCGUUGCCACUUGAAGGAAAACCAGCUUCUUGGAAACACACGGACUCAUUAAUCCAAAGGUUAUUAUGGUUCAAAACUUUCUGAUGUUUUGCAGAGCUUUCCCGGAAAAGUACUUUGAGAUCCUGUCUGGAAAAUUGCUCUUGAAUAGGCAUAAGUAACCAAACCAUGGACAGCCAUUGUGUAAGCCCUCUUCAAAUCAAUGACACAACACGAGUUCCAUGUCUGCAAGCAUAAAAGCUAGUCAAGAGUUUUCCCAGACUUUUGUCCUGUCCAUAUCCUCCAGUAAGAGAUCCAUGAAAGGCUUGGGAGAAAGGAAGAAGAGAAAGACAGCAAGUGAGACAUCACAUGGUUGAAUAGUGUGGAGAUUUUGAGGUGCCCAAGUAUUAAGAACCCUCAAGAUAUGGUUAGAAGCCUGAAACUCUAUGGGUUUCCAUGCUGCUCUCUCUCAAACCUGAGGAUUUACAGACUUCCAGAACAAGAACGGACUACUUACAUAUACCUUAGUGAAAAUGCCUGGGAAAUGCAUGAAGAUGGAAGUCCUCCUUUCUCUCACCAAAAUCUCUCCUCUCUGUCACAUCUGAACCAGUCUGCUGGGAAUGUACAGGACACUUUCACUUCUCUGUCUAAGUCUGUAACUCAGCUGGGAGCUCCAUUUCCAUUGCUCUCAUCCUAAUUCUUUUCCCAAGAUCUACAUUUAUUUUAAGACAUGGACAAAGAUUUCUGCUUGGAAGUAAAAAGGGAAAAAUAUAUCAAGACAUAGACUUACCUUGAUGCUCUGCCUUUAGCACUAUUGUGUAGUUGGAAUUGAAGUGUCCUCUUUAAAAGUUUGCCCUGUAAUUUUUUUGCCACAGCUCAGCUUGGAAAUGAGAUGUAGUAACUCACUGCAUUUUUCUGCAGAUAUACAAUUGUAAUUAUUUUAUUGCACCUUAGGUGCUUUCAAGCCCAUAACUUACAAUGUAUGGGGCAUUCAUGGGAAUCUGAUGUGGAGGUGAACUGAGCAGAGUUCACGUAAGUUCUGCUAUAUACAUUGAAAGACCUAUACAGACUUUAAGGCAAUCAUAUAGCUAAUUUUAACCUAUGAAAUAAAAUUGCCUCCACUAUGGUAGCUGGUGGGCAUUUUAAGUGUCCUCAUAUAGAAAAGCAAGCCACUAAAUUGAUAAAAAAAAUAGAUUUGGAAGAAUCGUGAGGUUAUGGAGACUUGAAACCUUUUCACAAUGCUUGCAUCUGCAGAUUCUAGGACAAUGGUUUAUAAUUUGGCUGAGACUUACUGUCACAAUAUAAUUAUAAUCAGUAAAUAUAAUGAAAAAUAUCAUCAGUAGAGCACCCAUAUUACCUAUAACAUUCUUUGCUUCUUUCUGGUAGACCUAAGGUUGUUUAAUGGAACAUUUUUAACUAGAAAAAAAAUAAUGAUUUACCAAUUCAAUUUGUUAAUACCAGAAUUAGAUAUAAAAAAAAAAAGAGAACGUUGUGUUUGUCUAUUAAUCAUGGGAAGCUGAAUAAAAUGUAUUGCUUCACAAUUCUAAAUCUUGCCUCAAGCUUCCAGACAGCACUUCAGAAAGACAAAUCUGAGCCUCGAGUUUUAUACGUCAGCUGCCACCAGAAUAAAUGUAGGUUAUGUGACUCAAAAAGAAAGUGUACUUUUUAAAUGAUGCAGAUGUUGGUUGUACUGUUUAAAAUACCUUAUUGGCAAGACCAUACCAGUUUAACCAUACAGAAUGGCAAUGGCCCAAAAACACUAAUCAGCAAAGGCAGAAAAUUGACUUGAUUUGGGUGUAGAUGGCUUGGGUUUACAUGAUGCUGCCAAGCUAUUUUUAUUGUUGUAGUCUAAGCCUUGGCCAAAUGUUAGGAACAAAAUAUAAGCACAUGUAAUCUUCAAAGAUCUUUUACUUCUGAGCUAAACCCAAAUUGUACAGACAUUUCCAUGUCUGAGUUCAGAAGCUAUCAAUUUUAUGGCAUUUUAAAAUCUACAUAAAUUUGUGUCUGUAAAUAGCACAAGAAACAAAAGAAUAGAAAAAAAGAGAAAUCCAGAGUGAAGCACUACAAUUUUUUGGAAUUUUUAAGGGCAAUCUUAAGACAUUUUUCCUGUUCUGUUUCCAAUAGCAGAGAAAGUAUAAAAAUAUAGCUGGUUAACCAUUUGGUUAGCCAUUGUUAAUAAAUAACAAGGGUCUGCUUCCCAAUUUCUGCAGAAGAAUGCUGGUUUAUACUCUGAAGAUCUAUCUCUUAUUUUAAAACUUCACUUUGAAGUACAUUGCUGGUUAUCUAGGAAGCAUUGUUAGAUUAUAACAAUGUGGUACUAAUGGUAAUCUGUCCAUUCACAACUGAUUAAUUCUAUUUGAUCCUGGUGACUCUUCUGUCUGUCUGAACUGGUAUUGGGCUAUAAAUUGCAUUUGAAUAUUAUGUUUGCUAUGAUACCACUUUAACUUCGUAUUGGACUGCAAGCACAUAGGAUUGGUAACAGGGCUAAAUUUUCACAGCUCUAUAUGACAGGUAAGCCCCUGAACAAACAGUGGGCAACUUGUCAGGGCUAAUUCUUUGUUUCAAGGCUGAAAUGUGGGAAGCAGAUAGCUAGGCAAUAGGAUGUUGACUCUGAUUUCUCAUUAGUAUCAAGGUUAUGCCCUGACAGAACUGUAUGGCAUUUUUAACAGAGUAGGCUAUUUUGUGAAAGAAAGAAGAAAUGCAGUGCAAGAAAUAGUGCUCCUUUAGAAUCACUUUCUAAAUGUCCUACAUGAAGGUGACUAAAAUCUGAGAGUGGCUCAUAAUGUAAUCUUGCUCUAACUGUUAACCUAUGAACAUAUGCUUCUUCCAUAUACAUGCAAUCUAGUGAUGAGUAAAAUGAAAUUGUGAAGAGAUUUCUGGGCGUCUAAUAGCAAAUGCAUCUUACAAAAGUGUGAAAUAGAAACUUGCAAAUUUUUAUUUCAUAUUCAUAAGUCAGAUGAUUUCGUGAUAUUUGUGAAUAUACAGUACGCAUAAAUUAAAGGUCAAAGUCUAGAUUCUACUAAAGAAUUCAGCAACUUAUUCAUAUUAGUUUUUAAUCUUCUAAUAGCACCUCAUUAAAUGAAUAUGUAUUGGAGUGACUAGGGCUAUGGAUUUAGGCUUCAUGUUAAUGAAACCACCAGUAUGCUUCACAGUAGUAUUUUUGUCAUAUGUUCGUUUACUACAUAUACUGUUGCCCAGUACAAAGAUAUCAAAGUUUCACACUUGUGAAUUACUCUUUUUAAACUGAUGAGACAUUUAUGGAGGGAAAAAAAAAACCCUUAAUUUGAAUUAAAAUAAUAGAAUAUGACUCUCAUUAUAAGAAUAACCUCUUUAAUCCUUCCUGUGACCUCCCUGAGUGUACAGUGUUGGUAUUAGAGGAGGCAACACUUAGAGAUUGUACUCAUGUGGGAGAAACACAGCAAACGAUGUUGAAAGACCAAUUCUAAGUAGUGGUCCUGUAUCCCUACAGAAAAAGUACAGCUCAUUCAAAAUACAAAUCUAACAAGCAUAAACCUUAGUGCAGCACUUGCCUGAGAAUGGAGCAUAAGUGUUUAUUUUUUUUCUCUCUACUCUUCAGAGUAAUUUAUAACAACAGUACUCAUUCUGUCUAAGCAGUCUCUGGCACCAGAGUAUGCAUAUCAGCAAUUGUAAUACAGUCACUCACUAUUGGCACUUCAGGCUAAUAAAGUUUAUUUCACUUGGAGUGCUGACAUGGCUGUCUGCAAACAAGGCUCUGAGAACUAAGACAGCUGGAACAUCAUUAAAGAACAUUGACUUUCUCUCUUCUUUUUUAUCUUUUUCUCGUUGGUGGAACUUUACUGCAUUUAAGAACGCUAGUCACCUCCCAAAACAUGAAAGCAAAAAUGGUAAUAUCAUUUUUUAUGUUUUCCUCCAUAUAUAUCCUAAGUAAAGUAAAACAGUGAAGAAGGUUAAAAGAUAAAAUAGAUUUGGGGAAGUAAAUGAAGUUUUUAUACAUUGUCCAAAUCAUUGUAUCAGAGAUUUCAUAAAAGCCUUUUGUGAGUUUAAAACUGGAUGUGUAGGGAGGGGCUGAUAAUUAAUAAUUUAGUACAUUUGGCAGGAUCAAUAUCACUAAUUUGUUAUGUCUGCAAAGUUAAUUCCUAUUCCUUUGUGAACUGAAGACUUGAAAAACUGAAGUAACAAUUUCAAAGGGAAAGCAUUUAUAGGGAUUAAGGGGAACUAAUUGAUUCAGUUUUAAGGUUAAGAAGAACUGAUAAUCUGAGAAUAAAUUUAAGGACUUCUUUACAGUUGUAGCACGUGCAACUUGAAGAACUUGCUACUUCACGUUCUUACUACUAGAAGUAGUUUCUGAAAAUCAGAUUUCACAGCUGAUGCAUAUUUGAUUUAUUAAAAAAAAAAUUCUUGCAUUAUCAUCCUCUGGUCUUAUUCUGUGACAAAGACUCUGUAGAAGGAAUCCUAAGCAGUCCCUGCUGCGAAAUUACAUAGCUUAAUACAGAUUAGAAAAAUAUGGUAAACUGUGUUCCAGCCGAAGUUGAGGGACUUUUCAAGAAACUGAUCUUUCUUUCCAUUUUAUUCCUGAACUAUUCAAGCCAGUGAGCAAAGUCCAUCCCAGGGUAAGAGUGUAUGUCCAUCAUAGAGGUUUCUCUGCUGGCUCAAACUUGAUAGUAAAAGCACUGAAGAGCAAAUGCCACAGAUAAAGGUUCACAAGAGCAGAAAGCAGCUGAAACACCUAAUUGAAUGAAAGGUAAAGGGCCAAGUACAAACCUAUGGUGUGGAAAUACGAGGUGCUGAUACCAGUGGUAUUCCUAUCCAUCUGUUCCAUCUGCCACCUAAAGCACUCUCAUCUGUUCAGCUCACAAUCUUUGUGUAAUUGUUCCCCAAAGGACAGACCGUCAGCAUUUCUCUCUCUCUCUGGUGGCAAUCAUCAUAGUUAUAGGGCAGGACUGGUUGUUUCCUUGGUCUUUUUCAUUGAUCUACAUUUUCUCGAUCUUGCUUCAGCAUUUAAUGCCUUCAGGUCAUUCCUUGUGGGACAGAAUGCCUGUCUCCCUAUUGUUUUUGUGGACACAUCGACUACCAUGUAAUUAUGGGAAAUUACCUCUGUGCAUCAUGGUUUAAGAGGAGAGACAAGGAUAUUUCAUGCAGAAACACAACAAAAAAAAAAUGACAUAUGGAAAAAUUGGAUCACACACAAGAGGAAAUUUCCAAGAGAAAUUAAUGGUGAAAUUGAUCUCUUGUGUUGUUUACAGAUAUUAAAUAAAGAGCAGAAUAUUAUAUUUGGCUAUAGCAACUACAAAACUACAAAAAAAUUAUUACUCAAAUGUCAGUUUUUAGAAUGUGCUAGAGUCAUUUUCAUUUCAUACAAAGGAGAAUCAAAGCUAGAGAAAUCUUGCAAAAUGUUUAAAUAAUACAAGUUAAACAACUAUACUGUAUAAUGCAGGGGAAUUACAACUUCCAGAAUACAUCUUCAAAAUUGUCAGCAUAGAGUAGCAGUCCUUCCUGCAAAGAAAUGUAUUAACUUCUCUAAUUAAAAUACACCUGUAAUAUUUUAGUCCUCAGUCACUGGCUAAAGGCUGUGAAGCACAAAUUACUUCAAUGCUCUAGUGACUCCUGAACUCCAGAAGGAAAGUUACAUUCAGACCAGACCCUAUUAACAUGUUCAACCCGUUUCUCAAUUUUUUUUCAGGAAGUUGAUUGUUGGGGUUUUUGGUUUUUUGUCUUGUUUUAAAAAUUGCCAAGUUUGUAGGAACGAAUAGAUAUUUGGAGUCUUUUCUAAAUCUUUAUACACUUUAUUUACUUGCAAGUACAUCACUAGCUCAAAUGUGUAUAUACACUUGUCCUUAAAAACAGUAAAGCCUUUUGUAGCUCAACAUCUGGUUGUUUUGUCUUGUAAACUGCAUGGAGUAGUGCUCUGAAGAUUAGGACAGUUAUAUCCUUUCUCAUGCAAAACUAGUAAGUAAAUAAGUUAUUAGAAGAGCAGGAAUAGCCAGUGCAAAAUAGUUAUUUUCAUUGUAUAUGAAGCAAUUUCAUUUCUAAUUGCAGUGAUACUGGGUUUAAUAGACUUCUCAAAUAAAAGAAGUCAAUGAAAAGAAUUUUUUAUAA